GAAAUGCGAUAAGUAAUGUGAAUUGCAGAAUUCAGUGAAUCAUCGAAUCUUUGAACGCACCUUGCGCUCCUUGGUAUUCCUUGGAGCAUGCCUGUUUGAGUAUCAUGAAAUCUUCAAAGUAAAUCUUUUGUUAACUCAAUUGGUUUCUACUUUGGUAUUGGAGGUCUUUGCAGCUUCACACCUGCUCCUCUUUGUUCAUUAGCUGGAUCUCAGUGUUAUGCUUGGUUCCACUCGGCGUGAUAAGUUAUCUAUCGCUGAGGACACUGUAAAAGGUGUCCAAGGUAAAUGCAGAUGAACCGCUUCUAAUAGUCCAUUGACUUGGACAAUACUUUUAUGAUCUGAUCUCAAAUCAGGUAGGACUACCCGCUGAACUUAAGCA
rnacentral:misc_RNA from 1 species